CCUACGGGAGGCAGCAGUAAGGAAUAUUGGUCAAUGGAGGCAACUCUGAACCAGCCAUGCCGCGUGCAGGAAGACGGCCCUAUGGGUUGUAAACUGCUUUUGAACUAGAGAAAACCUUGGUACGUGUACCGAGUUGAUAGUAUAGUUAGAAUAAGCAUCGGCUAACUUCGUGCCAGCAGCCGCGGUAAGACGAAGGAUGCAAGCGUUAUCCGGAUUCAUUGGGUUUAAAGGGUGCGUAGGCGGACUGAUAAGUCAGUGGUGAAAUCUCUCAGCUUAACUGAGAAACUGCCAUUGAUACUGUUAGUCUAGAGUACAGAUGAUGUGGGCGGAAUAUGACAUGUAGUGGUGAAAUACUUAGAUAUGUCAUAGAACACCGAUUGCGAAGGCAGCUCACAAAACUGUAACUGACGCUGAGGCACGAAAGUGCGGGGAUCAAACAGGAUUAGAUACCCUGGUAGUCCGCACCGUAAACGAUAGAUUACUCGUUGUUGGCGAUAUGACAGUCAGCGACCAAGCGAAAGCGANAAGUAAUCCACCUGGGAGUACGCCGGCACGGUGAAACUCAAAUGAAAUUGAGGCUUGGAGGACGNGCGAGACGACACGAGGGAGGAGG
rnacentral:rRNA from 1 species